GACGUAGGGUGCAAGCGUUGUCCGGAAUUAUUGGGCGUAAAGAGCUCGUAGGCGGCUUGUCGCGUCGGCUGUGAAAACCUGGGGCUCAACCCCGGGCCUGCAGCCGAUACGGGCAAGCUAGAGUUCGGUAGGGGAGACUGGAAUUCCUGGUGUAGCGGUGAAAUGCGCAGAUAUCAGGAGGAACACCGGUGGCGAAGGCGGGUCUCUGGGCCGAAACUGACGCUGAGGAGCGAAAGCGUGGGGAGCGAACAGG
rnacentral:rRNA from 1 species